rnacentral:rRNA from 1 species
AACGAACGCUGGCGGCAUGCCUAACACAUGCAAGUCGAACGAGACCUUCGGGUCUAGUGGCGCACGGGUGCGUAACGCGUGGGAACCUGCCCUUAGGUUCGAAAUAACUCCCCGACAGGGGUGCUAAUACCGGAUAAUGUCUUCGGACCAAAGAUUUAUCGCCUUUGGAUGGGCCCGCGUUGGAUUAGCUGGUUGGUAGGGUAAAAGCCUACCAAGGCGACGAUCCAUAGCUGGUCUGAGAGGAUGAUCAGCGACACUGGGACUGAGACACGGCCCAGACUCCUACGGAAGGCAGCAGUGGGGAAUAUAGGACAAUGGGCGGAGGCAUGAACCAGCAAUGCCGCGUGAGUGAUGAAGGCCUUAGGGAUGUAAAGCUCUUUUACCCGGGAUGAUAAUGACAGUACCGGGAGAAUAAGCGCCGGCUAACUCCGUG